rnacentral:tRNA from 1 species
AGAAUUUUAAGUUAACAAAAACUGUUUGUCUUCAAAGCUUAAAAUGGAAUAGUAUAUUUCAAGUUCUG